GGAAGGAUCAUUAUCAGAAAUUCAUAUUUUUGAAUAUCACCCUUCAACCCCUGUCUACCAAUUCUCUGUUGCUUCCAUUGGACUGGCAUAUAUCGUUGAAUUCGCUUUUAACAGUAAUUGCCCUUCAGGUCUCUUAAUUGAGCUUGAAGAAUUGCCAGUGGGUAGCCUAUGUUAAUACAGCAUUUUAUUUAGAAGUCUGAAACAAUAUGAAACUAAAUGAAAAAAAACUUUCAACAACGGAUCUCUAGGCUCUUGCAUCGAUGAAGAACGCAGUGAAAUGUGAUAAGUAAUGUGAAUUGCAGAAUCUCGUGAAUCAUUGAAUUUUUGAACGCAUAUUGCGCCCAAUGGUAUUCCAUUGGGCAUACCUGUUUGAGAGUCAGAAUCCUUCAAAAUUGUCAAACUUCCUAUAGUUGGAGAUGUUUGGAAUUGAGAGACGUAAUAAUAAUUUCAAUGUUACUCUCUUAAAAAUCAGAAUUUCAGGUUGAUUCCUCCAAUCUCAUUUUGUAUGUGAUAAUCUUAAUGAGAGAAGAAAACAGCCAUAAAUGUAGGUAUAUAGAACACUCGGUAUGACCUCAAAUCAGG
rnacentral:rRNA from 1 species